UACGGAGGGGACUAGCGUUGUUCGGAAUUACUGGGCGUAAAGCGUGCGUAGGCGGUUUGUUAAGUCCGUUGUGAAAGCCCUGGGCUCAACCUGGGAAUUGCAGUGGAUACUGGCAAGCUAGAGUACGGUAGAGGAUGGUGGAAUUCCCGGUGUAGCGGUGAAAUGCGUAGAGAUCGGGAGGAACACCCGUGGCGAAGGCGGCCAUCUGGACCAGUACUGACGCUGAGGCACGAAAGCGUGGGGAGCAAACAGG
rnacentral:rRNA from 1 species